rnacentral:rRNA from 1 species
AGCAGCCGCGGUAAUUCCAGCUCCAAUAGCGUAUAUUAAAGUUGUUGCAGUUAAAAAGCUCGUAGUUGAAUUUCGGGAUCAUCAGGUUGGUCGUGCCUCUGUAUGUACUUUCCUCGAUGGUUCCUCCUUCUUGAAGAACCGUAAUGCCAUUAAUUUGGUGUUGCGGGGAAACAGGACUGUUACUUUGAAAAAAUUAGAGUGUUUAAAGCAGGCAAUCGCUUGAAUACAUUAGCAUGGAAUAAUGAAAUAGGACGUUCGAUCCUAUUUUGUUGGUUUCUAGGAUUGACGUAAUGAUUAAUAGGGAUAGUUGGGGGCAUUAGUAUUCAAUUGUCAGAGGUGAAAUUCUUGGAUUUAU